GUGCUCGCUUCCGCAGCAUAUAUGCUAAAAUUGGACAACAGAGACAUCAGUGCGGCCCCUGCACAAAGAUGACACACAAAUUCAUUAUGUGCUCCAUAUUUUU